GACGAACGCUGGCGGCGUGCCUAAUACAUGCAAGUCGAACGCAUUUUCUUUCACCGUAGCUUGCUACACCGAAAGAAAAUGAGUGGCGAACGGGUGAGUAACACGUGGGUAACCUGCCCAUCAGCGGGGGAUAACACUUGGAAACAGGUGCUAAUACCGCAUAAUUCCAUUUACUGCAUGGUAGAUGGAUGAAAGGCGCUUUUGCGUCACUGAUGGAUGGACCCGCGGUGCAUUAGCUAGUUGGUGGGGUAACGGCCUACCAAGGCUGCGAUGCAUAGCCGACCUGAGAGGGUGAACGGCCAAACUGGGACUGAGACACGGCCCAGACUCCUACGGGGAGCAGCAGUAGGGAAUCUUCGGCAAUGGACGCAAGUCUGACCGAGCAACGCCGCGUGAGUGAAGAAGGUUUUCGGAUCGUAAAACUCUGUUGUUAGAAAAGAACAAGGAUGAGAGUGGAAAGUUCAUCCCUUGACGGUAUCUAAACAGAAAGCCACGGCUAACUACGUG
rnacentral:rRNA from 1 species